CUGGCUCAGGAUGAACGCUAGCUACAGGCUUAACACAUGCAAGUCGAGGGGCAGCAUGAUCAAAGCUUGCUUUGAUUGAUGGCGACCGGCGCACGGGUGAGUAACGCGUAUCCAACCCUCCCCCUUAGUAGGGCAUAGCCCGUAGAAAUGCGGAUUAAUACCCUAUGUUGUUCAAUGCGGACAUCUAAGUUGAACCAAAGGUUUACCGCUAAGGGAUGGGGAUGCGUCCGAUUAGGCAGCAGGCGGGGUAACGGCCCACCUGGCCGACGAUCGGUAGGGGUUCUGAGAGGAAGGUCCCCCACAUUGGAACUGAGACACGGUCCAAACUCCUACGGGAGGCAGCAGUGAGGAAUAUUGGUCAAUGGGCGAGAGCCUGAACCAGCCAAGUAGCGUGCAGGAUGACGGCCCUAUGGGUUGUAAACUGCUUUUAUGCGGGGAUAAAGUGCGGCACGUGUGCCGUUUUGUAGGUACCGCAUGAAUAAGGACCGGCUAAUUCCGUGCCAGCCGCUGC
rnacentral:rRNA from 1 species